ACUGGGGUGGCAGAGCAUGGUAAAUUGCAAAAGGCCUAAGCCCUUUACAUCAGAGGUUCAAAUCCUCUCCCCAGUU
rnacentral:tRNA from 1 species